GACUAUCUAUUUUUUUUUUUA
rnacentral:snRNA from 1 species